rnacentral:rRNA from 1 species
CGAAGGUAGCAUAAUCAUUAGUCUUUUAAUUGAAGGCUGGUAUGAAUGGUUGGAUGAAAUAUUAACUGUUUCAUUUAAAUUUUUAAUAGAAUUUUAUUUUUUAGUUAAAAAGCUAAAAUAUUAUUAAAAGACGAGAAGACCCUAUAAAUCUUUAUAUUUUAUUUUUGUUAAUUAUUUAGAUAUUUUUUAUUAUUAUAAAUUAAAAUAUUUUAUUGGGGUGAUAUUAAAAUUUAAUAAACUUUUAAUUAUUAAAAACAUAAAUUUAUGAAUUAAUGAUCCGUUAUUAACGAUUAAAAAUUUAAGUUACUUUAGGGAUAACAGCGUAAUUUUUUUGGAGAGUUCUUAUCGAUAAAAAAGAUUGCGACCUCGAUGUUGGAUUA